CGGUCCGCCUGCCGACACCGCGCUUGUUAGGCGGCGCGGGCGCGGGAGCAGGUGCCCAGCAGCAGGUGCCCGGCAGCAGCCCGCACCGCACCGCACCGCACCGCGCAGGAGCGGAGGGGCUCGGGCGACAAGCGCGAUCCCGGCUGUAAGCAAGAAACUUUCCUCGCUCACUGAGCCCUCAUCGCGCAGCACGGCGCUCCGCUGCCAAGGAGCUCCCGGCCCCGGUCCGGUCCCGCAGCUGCCACCCCGCGCAGCGCGUCCCAGCGCCCUUUUGGUUGCGGAGAGGCACUACCGGCCCGAAGGACCUCGCGCCGCGUCCGUGCCGGAGUUGCCGUCGCCAAAUCCGGAGCAGAAGGGAUUCACUAUGAACUAUGAGCUCUGCAACAAAAGUUUUCUAAGCAGCAGAUGCGUGCAAAAGUAAACUUGUGUUCAGAAAUUAAAAUCAACUGGAGUUGGUAGCAUCCUCUCUGGAAGUUAAACAUUCAGAACUGGGGCGGUACGGGGGUCAGGUUGCGUGUAGCCGAUGGCCUCGGGCUGUGCGGGAGCCGGGUAUCGCUGCGGGACGGGCAGCAGCACCGAGGCGGCUGGGGGCAGCGCAACUGCAGCAAGGAGACGGGGGAAGGAAGAUGGUCAGGGCGGCAUCGGCGAUAGCAGACAGAAAAACUCUCCUGAGAAGUGUGAAAAGGAGGGGGAGGAGCCACACGCAGGCUGCCAGGAGUUGUCCCGCUGGCAGCUUCUGGUCUGUGCUGUAUCGCUGCCGAACUGGGCGCCAAGGUCAGAAUCAGAAACUUUCUUCAAAUAAAAUCGUUAUUUCUGAAUAUGUCAAUGGGGCUGAAGCAAAUCAGAAUGAACCACAAUAAGGAUUUUGCUUCCUUGUCAAUACUGGUGAAAUGGCAGAGGGAAAUGCAAACUGGAGGAGCACAACUUUGUUAAAAGUUCUGAGUGUUUAGCUGUGUUCUGGCACUGUGAAAAAAAUACCUAUAUGUUCUUCUUUUAAGGGCCUUCCUCUGCACAACAGACACAUCUCUUGUGCUACAGCACUGCCUUCUGUAGCUCUGUUUUGAUGGGUUUCCUCCUCAGCUGGAGUUCACCCAUGGUGAUUCUGGGGGACUCCUCUGGGAGAAGCAGGGGGGGCUCUGGUUUCCAUCUUCAAGGGCUCAGAGGGAUGGAGGUAAUGAAGAACUGGGGGGGCUGGGAAAAGGAAUAGAUCUGUUGAUAUCCUAGAAGCCCUACCCUACAAACAGGAGGUGGGCAGACAGGCAGGGAGAAAUGCAAACCUGUCAGUGCUGGACACCAUCGUUCCUAUGGACUGUCAGUCUUGCACACUUGACUUGUGCUGUAUUCUGCAGCUCUGGCUUUAAUAAAGUAACGCCAGCUAUGCAAAUGAGGUAUUACUUCAUUUUCAUUAAAUGUCACAUGCUGAGCUAGCCAGUUAUGAUGGUUUUCUCUGUAUUGACAACAGGCUGUUAUUUGUACUGGGAACAAAGAAAGGAUGCUCAGCAGGAGGAUGUAUGUACUGAUAUAUAAGAACAUGGCUUAAUUAGCAAUGUGUGGCAGAGAGCUCAUAGGUAGGAGUGCAGAUUUGCAAAUCCAGAUGUUUACAGAGGGCCGUGAGUUACGUGACUCCAUCUAAUUACAAACUGCUUUGUUAAUCAAUGUCACUGAGAUACAAUAGGGCACUUGUUCAGAUACAAUGGCAACGAUGUCAAUGUAUUACCAACUAUGGUAUUUGUUAUUGCUAUUAGACUGAAGCUGUGGUAUUUCUCAAGUAGGGCCCCUUAUUUUUUGGCUGUUUUCAAAGACAUUUCUGUGGAUGUGGAGAAAAUGUGUAAACCAUCCACCUGGUGGUAACUAGCCCUGAGCUGGUUUAUGUGGCUGGUUGGCUGGUCUGGUUUACAGAUUCAGAAUGAUCCUCAUAAAUUUCUGAUGACCCAUUUCAGGACUGGUUACUGUCCUGCUCAGGCAAUGAGAGAGUUGCUAGUUUUAGUCCAGAAAAAAUUAUAUAUGUAUAUAUGGGAAGACCAAAAACCGGUUUGUUUGUUUGUUUGUUUACCUUACAGAAGCAAGUUGAAAGCUCAGAGGUACUGAACUGAACCUCUAGAAACUGAAAUAUAAUUUAGCCAUAAAGCAGUUUAAACCACAAGCAACAGCAACAUUACCUGCCCUGCAUUACAUUAUCAGUGAAUUCUAAUCCUGUUUUAGGGAAAUCACCCUUGGAAACAGCUUCACUAGGCAUUCAACUAGCUUCCAUUGUAAAGAAAGCCUCCAAGGGGAGAAACCAUAAGCUUCUCUGAAAACAAGUACAGAAAAAUCUAUUAGAAGCCUUUACUUUCUCCUUCAAGAGAACAAUUUAUCAAGAGUUUAGCUGGCUGUGUAUAAAACCACCCUUUCAUGGACUACUUGCCUUUUGAUUUAAUUCUUCUUGAGUUAUAAAUACAAGGUCUGGCCUGUAACAAGAUAACUUAUAUGAAAUGUGGUUUGUUCACAGUUCUGAAAAUGCAGUUUGUUCUCUGCUCUAUCAGUUGAACGGCAAAAAGGCAAUUCAGGGAUUCAGAUUUGCCCUUAUAAACUUCAGAUACCCCUCUUUCCUAAUGUCUGCUGGGAUUUUGUACAGUCUGAAGAUGUGUGAAAAUGAGAUUUAAAGCAAAAGAGCUCUUGCUGAUCUAUACUGUGCACUACUACAACUGUUUGAUUUGCAGUUAUAAGAGAGAUUUGCAUGUAUUUAUGGUGAUUUCCUUACAGUGUCACCUUCAGCUUCCCCAGCAAGCAAUUAACGCAUCUCAUGAAGCAGGUUGAGUCCGAUGAGAGCACACAGCAGGAACAAAUAAGCUGUUGGGUCCCACCCAGCAGCAGUGCUGUCAGCCCACUCCCUAUGGAAUAAGAAUGGCUGCAGAGUUGCUGCACUGUGCAUCUGCUAGCACAGGUUUUGCACAGCAGAGAAAAGACAGAAUGGCACAGACAGGCUGCUUCCGUUGCCAGUGGGGAACAGCACUGGGCCAAGGGAAUUCUCUUGUGAUUACUUCUUCUUGUAGGAGAAAACAGGCACAGAGGGUAAAAUCCAGCCAGUAACAUGAACAGCUAAAGCGUGCAUAAGCUGUCUGAGUUGUGCACCCAAGAAGAAUUGCCAGGUAGACAGUUGCAUAUAUUCUUAUCCAAACAUUCUGUAAUUGUAUUUGGUCCAAUUAAACCAGGCUUGCCCUGAUUUCUAUAGAAAAAUUGUUCUGAUUUUCUACUUUCAGAUCUUACUUCUGCCCAGAGACUAUCAAACAAAAUAACCGUAGUGUUCUCCCAGUAUUUUGAUGUACUUUGAAAUGUUCACAAAGAUUGUGAUAAAAUGUUUAAAUAAAAAUCCACAUAUUCCA